AUUGAACGCUGGCGGCAUGCUUUACACAUGCAAGUCGAACGGCAGCGCGGUCUUCGGCCUGGCGGCGAGUGGCGAACGGGUGAGUAAUACAUCGGAACGUGCCCAGUAGUGGGGUAUAGCUCGGCGAAAGCCGGAUUAAUACCGCAUACGACCUGAGGGUGAAAGCGGGGGAUCUUCGGACCUCCCGCUAUUGGGGCGGCCGAUGGCAGAUUAGCUAGUUGGUGGGGUAAAGGCCUACCAAGGCGACGAUCUGUAGCUGGUCUGAGAGGACGACCAGCCACACUGGGACUGAGACACGGCCCAGACUCCUACGGGAGGCAGCAGUGGGGAAUUUUGGACAAUGGGCGAAAGCCUGAUCCAGCAAUGCCGCGUGUGUGAUGAAGGCCUUCGGGUUGUAAAGCACUUUUGGCGGGAACGAAAAGGACUGUGCCAAUACCACGGUGCGAUGACGGUACCCGCAGAAUAAGCACCGGCUAACUACGUG
rnacentral:rRNA from 1 species